rnacentral:rRNA from 1 species
GACGUAGGAGGCGAGCGUUGUCCGGAGUUACUGGGCGUAAAGGGCGCGUAGGUGGCCCCUCAAGCGUGCGGUGAAAGUCAGGGGCUCAACCCCUGAUCGGCCGUGCGAACUGGGGAGCUUGAGCACUGUAGAGGCAGGCGGAAUUCCGGGUGUAGCGGUGGAAUGCGUAGAGAUCCGGAAGAACACCGGUGGCGAAGGCGGCCUGCUGGGCAGUUUUGCUGACACUGAGGCGCGACAGCGUGGGGAGCAAACAGG